GGAAGCCGGCGCCCGAAGCCCCGGUGAACGGCGGCCGUAACUAUAACGGUCCUAAGGUAGCGAAAUUCCUUGUCGGGUAAGUUCCGACCCGCACGAAAGGCGUAACGAUCUGGGCACUGUCUCGGAGAGAGGCUCGGUGAAAUAGACAUGUCUGUGAAUAUGCGGACUACCUGCACCUGGACAGAAAGACUAUGAAGCUUUAGUUCCCUGGU
rnacentral:ncRNA from 1 species